GGUGGGCCUCAGUCGCAUGCAGGACAGCACCGCGUGCGGCAGCUGCUCUGGUGGCCUCCUGCUUACCCGGCCCUCCACUUUACCGUUAGCACGGAGUGCGGCACCCUGCUUGGGCCUUUCGGCUCUGCCUCCCCUGCCCGUCACGGCGGGUCACGACAUCGGCCAGGACGCAGCAGAAGGGACAAGACACGCAAAGAAGAUGGCGCACCCACCUCGGCACCGAAGGCCAGUGCGACCUCCCGGGAGCAGGCGGGCCAGCACGGGCCUUCCCGGAGGAGACAGCUAAGCCGAGACCUGGGACUGCAGAGGAGAAACAAGGAGGAGGCAGGCGGGGCCCGGUGCCCUCCUCGUCUGCCGUGCCGGGUGGACGGUCUGCUCGCCUGUCUGCGUGACGAAACUGAGGCACAAAGACGCGCUAUGCCAGCGGCGGGUAUAGCAAGGGCUCCCUCCGCGCCACGUGUUGCCAUCCACCACACAGGAAUGACCGUCUCCGUGUCAUAGAUGGGAAACCAGGACGUGUAGGCAUCAGGGUUUCUCCAUUUUGGCCAGACUGGUCUGGAACUUCUGAGUUCAAGCGGUCCUCCCGUCUCAGCCUUCCAAAGUGCUGGGAUGACAGGUGUGAGCAGCUGCGCCCUGCAGGUGCAGGCCCUGGAAGACAAGGGAGGAGCCUGUGAGCCACCGGCCCACGUGAAAGUAAAUGCAUGAAGUUCCCUCUCGCUGAACUGAAAAGAGCCUCAACCUGGACCUGACACCAACUUCGCCGGUGCUGCCUGGCUGGUUGCUCUAGCGCCCUGAAGGAGAGGAAUGCAGUCAUAUUUCACUGUGAUUUUCAGUGUCAUUUCCACGAAGACUAAUGAUGUUGAGCUUUUUUUUCUCCAUAAUACAGGAAAGAGACCCAAACCCAUGAAGAAUGAGAUACAUGUACAGUUUUGAUUAUAAAACCAAAGAAUAAUGGCUUCACAAGAUGACGGCUGGGCUCCUGGGCUGCCUUCAGUGUCUUUAAACAGAGAUAGAGUCUUGCUAUGUUGUCCAGGCUGACACUGAACUCUUGGGCUCCAACGAUCCUCCUGCCCCGGCCUCCUGAGUACCUGGGAUUAUAGGCACAAGUCACCAUGCCCAGCCGGAAUAAUCUGAAGGAAAGACGGGUAUAUUCAAGAUGACUUUGCUGCUGGAAAUAUGACAGAAUAAUGUGGUAUCUUCUUCUGCACUUCCAAGCUCUUUCACACUCAGGCUCUUCCUGGCUUUUCUGCCUCAGCCACCAUAAACUGUGGUUGCUUCUCCAGCUCUGUUACAGUUCAGACUUGAGGGGAGGUGACAAGAGCUAACAUGUUACCAUGGGGAGCCUGGCUGACAUCUCCGAAACUGAAGACUCUAUGGAAGCCUCAUGCUAUUGCAAUGUGUACAUCAAAAGUAAAGUACCCCAGGUUAAAACUAUGAGGAAGUUGCCAUCUUUACUUCCAGGAGCAAAGACACUGAAACUGUCCCCUGUAAGCCCCUUAAUUUCAUACAGUCCUCUGACUGCCCCCCCAACCCUGGCUACUUUUUUUUGAAAUAAGGUCUCACUCUGUCAUCCAGGCUGGAGUGCAGUGGCAAAAUCACAAUACCCUGCAGCCUUGACCUCAUGGGCUCAAGCAGUCCUCCCACCUCAGCCUCCUGGGUAGCUGGGACUACAGGCUUGCACUACCACACCCAGCUUAUUUUUUGUAGAGACAGAGUUUCGUCAUGUUGCCCAGGCUGGUCUCAGGAGUCACUCCUGAGCUCAAGUGAUCCGCCUGCCUUGGCCUCCCACAGUGCUGGGAUUACAGGAGUGAGCCACCAUGUCUGGUCCUCUGACCCUUUUAGCAGGAAAUCCAGCCCAGCCCCUGAACGGCAUGUUAGACAGUUCAACAAAGCCUUCUAGAAGACCAAAGAAGACUCAUAGGAAUAAGCCUCUUGCUGAUUAAUGGAAACAUGACCAUUUGUGGAGAAAGUGCAAUCUGCAUUGAACACCUUUAGGGGAACCUGUCAUUUAAGACUUCAAGCAUUACCAUGAAAACUUCCUCUGAAACACCUUACAGACAUCUCUGUAAAACAGAUUUAAAAAGAAACACAUUUCUGCUUAAUCGGUACACAUCAAAUGGCGAUUUAAGAGCAAGGCUAGGAAACCAGAAGAUGAUAUGCAUAUACAUAAAGUUGCCACUAUUCCAAAUAGUAAAAUAAAGACAAAGUCAAUGGUCCUAGGAGAGCUGGUGGGUUGUGGAGCCAGGAGAGAAAGGCAGCUCCCUUCACCUUCCCUGUACAUUCCAGGAGGCCCUAGAAUGACCUAGAUGGUGUUACGCACAAAGCCCUCCUUUUCCCAUCCCGCCAUCAUCUCAGGAGCAAAUGGCCACACUCGGGUAUACGGAGCAGCUCAAGCAACCAGGUCUUCCUGCCAUUCCCCUGAAAGGGCUGGUUUUGCCAAACGCCAGAGCCACAUUGUGUUAAUCAGCGCCCAUCCCUAGACACAGGGGCUUGCAGCCUUGUCACACAAAUGAGCCAUGGAGAUGUUUCCGACUCCUCCCCUCCCUGCCACUCACAAGCAGCCAGCUGCCGAGCCCUGCAGACUCUUCCUUUACGACGUCAGUUGUAUCCACUUCCCUUCUGGUCCCACACCCAAGUUCAGGACCAUUUUAGCACGUGCCUACAUUAUUGCCACAGCCAUUGUCUUCAUCUGUUUUGUGCUGCUGUACAAGGAACAAACUUAUUUGGCUUGUGGUUUGGGAGGUUGGGAAAUCCAAGAUCCAGGGCCACAUCUGCUGAAGGCCUUCCUGCUGUACCGUAACAUAACGGGAGGCAUCACUGGUGAGAGAGAGAGAGCACAAGAAAGGGCCAAACUCGCUUUUAUAGUGAACCCACUCCUGCAAUAACAACGUUCAAAUGCUAACCACCUCUUCCCGUCCCUGCCCCUCAACAUGGCCAUGCUGGGGAUUAAGUGUCCAACACAUGAGCUUUGGGAUACAUGUUCCAACUACAGCCGCCACCUGCUGUCCUCCUUGCCUUCUCCCUCUUCUCUACACUUCUGCCGGAUUCUCUAGUUGGAUUAAUCUUGAAACAUCACUUAAUUGUUACCACUCUCCCAAAAGCAGUCAAUUUUAACCCAUUCCCAACAGGCUUGAGAAUAAAAGUUUCAGCCAAUCAAAAAAAA
rnacentral:lncRNA from 1 species